rfam:Rhizobium gallicum bv. gallicum R602 plasmid pRgalR602c, complete sequence.
CCGGUCGCCCAGUAAUGGGGCCGGCUGAGUCAAGGAGGCGUCAAGACGUCUUCGGCUUGGCGCUGUCUUGUAUCCAUGUUGCUUCGAAGGAGGAUAUGGCUAUGAGAA